rnacentral:rRNA from 1 species
AGUGAACGCUGGCGGUAGGCCUAACACAUGCAAGUCGAACGGCAGCACAGUAAGAGCUUGCUCUUACGGGUGGCGAGUGGCGGACGGGUGAGGAAUACAUCGGAAUCUACUUUUUCGUGGGGGAUAACGUAGGGAAACUUACGCUAAUACCGCAUACGACCUACGGGUGAAAGCAGGGGAUCUUCGGACCUUGCGCGAUUGAAUGAGCCGAUGUCGGAUUAGCUAGUUGGCGGGGUAAAGGCCCACCAAGGCGACGAUCCGUAGCUGGUCUGAGAGGAUGAUCAGCCACACUGGAACUGAGACACGGUCCAGACUCCUACGGGAGGCAGCAGUGGGGAAUAUUGGACAAUGGGCGCAAGCCUGAUCCAGCCAUACCGCGUGGGUGAAGAAGGCCUUCGGGUUGUAAAGCCCUUUUGUUGGGAAAGAAAAGCAGCAGGCUAAUACCCCGCUGUUCUGACGGUACCCAAAGAAUAAGCACCGGCUAACUUC